UACGGGGGGGGCAAGCGUUGUUCGGAAUUACUGGGCGUAAAGGGCGCGUAGGCGGUCAUCUAAGUCAGACGUGAAAUCCCCCGGCUUAACCUGGGAACUGCGUCUGAUACUGGACGGCUUGAGUAUGGGAGAGGGAUGUAGAAUUCCAGGUGUAGCGGUGAAAUGCGUAGAUAUCUGGAGGAAUACCGGUGGCGAAGGCGGCAUCCUGGACCAUUACUGACGCUGAGGCGCGAAAGCUAGGGGAGCAAACGGG
rnacentral:rRNA from 1 species